rnacentral:rRNA from 1 species
CAGCAGCCGCGGUAAUACGUAGGUGGCGAGCGUUGUCCGGAAUUAUUGGGCGUAAAGGGCUCGCAGGCGGUUUCUUAAGUCUGAUGUGAAAGCCCCCGGCUCAACCGGGGAGGGUCAUUGGAAACUGGGAAACUUGAGUGCAGAAGAGGAGAGUGGAAUUCCACGUGUAGCGGUGAAAUGCGUAGAGAUGUGGAGGAACACCAGUGGCGAAGGCGACUCUCUGGUCUGUAACUGACGCUGAGGAGCGAAAGCGUGGGGAGCGAACAGGAUUAGAUACCCCUGUAGUCCCUGUCUCUUAUAC